AUGACCCAGACGCACAGGGCGCGGGCAGCCGCGGGGGAACGCGGCCAGGGCCCCUGCCCUUCCCUUCCCCUCUUCACCGGCUCUGCUCGCGUCCCGCCCCGCGCCCGCACUCUGGGGUCCCACCCCCAGCACAGUUUUCCCUCCCGGGAGCUCUGGAUCUCCCCUCCCCCGCUCCCGGUUUCCUUGUCAAAACUUCCUGCCUUGGCCAGGGCCCGAGUUCCCACCCCCUUCCUGCCCCCCCGCCCCUCCGCGCCCCUCCCCGUCCUGCGAUCCGCGUCCUUCGGCCUCUGCGCUGCGGCUCUCGCAGUCGGGCUGGGGCUCCGUGCGGGGGCCCUCGCUGUAGUCCUCGGCCCCUCUAGGCCGGCGGUCCCCACCCCAAGCCUGCGGAUUCAAGGGGCCCGGACAGGCUCUAUGUCCUGAGCGCGGGGACCUCCGGGACACUCUCAGCCUCCCAGGCCCCUGCCAACCCUUGGUGCACCUGAAUCCCUCAGGGCCCUGCUGGUGAGUUCUCAGGGGCUGGGGUGGGGGGGAGGUGGAGGCUUGCCCUGGAGAGGGUGACUCGGGCAGGGUGGCCUGGGUGGCCUGGGGGCACCGCAGCUCGGCAGGUCUGAGGCUGCAGGGAGGGGGAGGCAGCUGUGCUCGGGCUGGAGGAAGGGUAGGGGCGCAGCGGGUGAGAUGAGGUUAAGCUAGGGAGCCCCUCUCUCACUCCCAGGCCUGCAGGGAAGCGGAGGGGGCUGUGGCGACCCUGGGAGUGCGGGGGUGGGGGGCGGGGUGGGGCCGGGAGCAGGCAUUCCAGAGAUCCUUAUGGGGAUAAGGGGCCAGCACGCAUGACCUUUCUUCUUGGAGAAAUUAUAAGCAGAUGUCGGCGCCUCAGGGAAGUAGAGAGCGGGAGCCGGGCCGGGUUUCAGGAAUGCUGUGGAGUGGCCUGCAGGGCCAGGCCUGCCCACCCACGGGUGGGUGAGGCCAGGGCUGUGGAGACACAGCUGGUGGGCAGAGGAAGGAGGGGGCUUCUCUUUACAUCCGCGCCAGGUUGGGCACCUGCUCAGGUGACAGCACCGGAAGUGGGCGGCAAAUAUCUAGCAACCGGCCCUGGGCGUGGGGAGAAGCCUCCCACGGCCGAGUUCCAGGGACGCCACCUGGGCACCUGGCAGGAGGAAGUCCCUGGAGGAAAUCCGUAGCAGUAAACAGAGGCCCCCAGCCACGGCAGGCUACCUUCCAUCUCCCGGGGGGUGGUCUCCGGGCAGCGGCCAGUUAGCGCCUGGCUCUUCCUGCCUGCCCACCGCUCCCUUGCGGUGUACUGACUAGAUCUAACUGCUCACUGCCCCUCUGACCGCUGGGGAACCGCACCACCUGCACCUCCUGCACCUCUGCCAGCUGUUUCCUGUGGCAAUUGCAAGCUUCCCUCGUGGCCUCAUUUAGU
rnacentral:lncRNA from 1 species